UGCGUAGGCGGUUUGGUAAGUUGGAUGUGAAAUACCCGGGCUUAACCCCGGAGCUGCAUUUGAAACUCUCUAGCUAGAGUACAGUUAGGGUAAACGGAAUUCCACGUGUAGCGGUGAAAUGCGUAGAUAUGUGGAAGAACACCGGUGGUGAAGACGGUUUACUGGGCUGUAACUGACGCUGAGGCGCGAAAGCAUGGGGAGCGAACA
rnacentral:rRNA from 1 species